rnacentral:rRNA from 1 species
UACGUAGGGGGCAAGCGUUGUCCGGAAUCAUUGGGCGUAAAGAGCUCGUAGGCGGUUCAGUAAGUCAGGUGUGAAAGCUCCGAGCUCAACUCGGAGAGGCCACCUGAUACUGCUGUGACUAGAAUCCAGUAGGGGAGUGUGGAACUCCUGGUGUAGCGGUGAAAUGCGCAGAUAUCAGGAAGAACACCAGCGGCGAAGGCGGCACUCUGGGCUGGAAUUGACGCUGAGGAGCGAAAGUGUGGGUAGCAAACAGGAUUAGAUACCCUGGUAGUCCACACCGUAAACGUUGGGCACUAGGUGUGGGGAGGAUCAACCCUUUCCGUGCCGUAGCUAACGCAUUAAGUGCCCCGCCUGGGGAGUACGGCCGCAAGGCUA